CUAGCCGUAAACGAUGGAUACUAGGCGUUGUGAGUAUCGACCCUCACAGCGUCGUAGCUAACGCGUUAAGUAUCCCGCCUGGGGAGUACGCGCGCAAGCGUGAAACUCAAAGGAAUUGACGGGGGCCCGCACAAGCGGUGGAGUAUGUGGUUUAAUUCGAUGCGACGCGAAGAACCUUACCAGGACUUGACAUGUCGCGAAUCUCAGGGAAACUUGAGAGUGCCUUCGGGAGCGCGAACACAGGUGGUGC
rnacentral:rRNA from 1 species